UUCUCGAAUUUGGAAGAUUUACUUAUUUUGCUGUUAUAAUCAUUUUUAAUUUGAAAUGAAAUGUUAAUAUAUCUAGUUUUUCAAGAAAGUUCAAUUUUUAUAUUUUUUUGGGGAUAAGCUCGGAAUAGGAUUAGAAGUUUUGUUAUAAUAAAAUUAUUGAAAUAUAAAAAUAAAUUUUCUUAGCGAAAAUGUUUAAAUUAGUAUAAGGUUAAAAAAAGGAAUUCGGCAAUGAUUUUCCACCUGUUUAUUAAAAACAUGGCUUUUUGAUAAUAAUUUAAGGUCUAACCUGCCCUAUGAGGCUGCGGUAUUUUGACCGUACAAAGGUAGCAUAAUAAUUAGUUUCUUAAUUAGAAGCUGGAAUGAAUGGUUGAAUGAGAAAAUGACUGUCUCUUUUUAAUAAAAUUUUAUUUUUAAGUAAGAAAGCUUAAAUUUUGUUUAAAGACGAUAAGACCCUAUAGAGUUUAAUUUUGAUUGGGGCGAUUAAAAAAUUAGAAAAACUUUUGAUUACAAGAAAAAAUUACCUUAGGGAUAACAGCGUAAUCUUUCUAAGAGUUCAAAUUGAAAGAAUGGGUUGCGACCUCGA
rnacentral:rRNA from 1 species